rnacentral:rRNA from 1 species
UACGGGGGGGGCAAGCGUUGUUCGGAAUUACUGGGCGUAAAGGGCUCGUAGGCGGCCAACUAAGUCAGACGUGAAAUCCCUCGGCUUAACCGGGGGAACUGCGUCUGAUACUGGAUGGCUUGAGGUUGGGAGAGGGAUGCGGAAUUCCAGGUGUAGCGGUGAAAUGCGUAGAUAUCGGAAGGAACGCCGGUGGCGAAAGCGGCGCACUGGAUCUCCACUGACGCUGAGGCGCGAAAGCCAGGGGAGCAAAGCGGGG